UACGAAGGGGACUAGCGUUGUUCGGAAUCACUGGGCGUAAAGCGCACGUAGGCGGAUAUGUCAGUCAGGGGUGAAAUCCCGGGGCUCAACCUCGGAACUGCCUUUGAUACAGCAUGUCUUGAGUCCGAUAGAGGUGGGUGGAAUUCCUAGUGUAGAGGUGAAAUUCGUAGAUAUUAGGAAGAACACCGGUAGCGAAGGCGGCCCACUGGAUCGGUACUGACGCUGAGGUGCGAAAGCGUGGGGAGCAAACAGG
rnacentral:rRNA from 1 species